UGAUCGUUUUUUCGUUUGUGUGUUUUUUCCUUCUGUGAGUUUUAUGUAUUUGCAUGUCAAAACAGCAGACGGCAGAAACGGCAGAAACGGCAGAAAAUGAGCA
rnacentral:ncRNA from 2 species